rnacentral:rRNA from 1 species
UACGGGGGGGAGCAAGCGUUGUUCGGAUUUACUGGGCGUAAAGGGCGCGUAGGCGGUCAGCACAAGUCAGUUGUGAAAUCUCCGGGCUUAACUCGGAAAGGUCAACUGAUACUGUGCGACUAGAGUGCAGAAGGGGCAACUGGAAUUCUCGGUGUAGCGGUGAAAUGCGUAGAUAUCGAGAGGAACACCUGCGGCGAAGGCGGGUUGCUGGGCUGACACGUGACGCUGAGGCGCGAAAGCGUGGGGAGCGAACAGG